rnacentral:rRNA from 1 species
GGAAUCUUCCACAAUGGGCGAAAGCCUGAUGGAUCAACGCCGCGUGUGUGAUGAAGGCUUUCGGGUCGUAAAGCACUGUUGUAUGGGAAGAACAGCUAGAAUAGGGAAUGAUUUUAGUUUGACGGUACCAUACCAGAAAGGGACGGCUAAAUACGUGCCAGCAGCCGCGGUAAUACGUAUGUCCCGAGCGUUAUCCGGAUUUAUUGGGCGUAAAGCGAGCGCAGACGGUUGAUUAAGUCUGAUGUGAAAGCCCGGAGCUCAACUCCGGAAUGGCAUUGGAAACUGGUUAACUUGAGUGCAGGAGAGGAGAGUGGAAUUCCAUGUGUAGCGGUGAAAUGCGUAGAUAUAUGGAGGAACACCGGUGGCGAAAGCGGCUCUCUGGCCUGUAACUGACACUGAGGCUCGAAAGCGUGGGGAGCAAACA